rnacentral:SRP_RNA from 2 species
GCUGGGCGUGGUGGCGGGUGCCUGUAAUCCCAGCUACUCAGGAGGCUGAGGCAGGAGAAUUGCUUGAACCCGGGAGUCGGAGGUUGCAGUGAGCCAAGAUCGUGCCACUGCAUUCCAGCCUGGGCGACAGAGCAAGACUCUGUCUCAA